rnacentral:lncRNA from 1 species
CUAGCCUUGGACACACCAGGCAGAAGUGCAGAUAAAGGCUGACUCCAGCAUAGCUAGGGGGCGUGGCUAACUCCACAUGUCCCCAGGUCUUAUCUAGAAUCUAAUGGCUUCAAGGUAGGUUAAUUGAAAAUUUUUCAAAAGUUAAAGAAGCAGUUUAUGACCUUCAAGCAUUUAGCAGUCUUAAUAUGUGUCCUGCCUAAUUUAAGCCAAAUGUUUACAUUUUUGAAGAUAUUUUUAUUUUAUCAAUAAUCUUCAAAACUGUCCUUAUUUCUGGAAAAUUAAAGUCACGUGAACUAAAAGGCACUACACUUUUUACUUUUCUGACAAAAUAUUUGAUUUAAGCUCUCAUUAAACCCAUUAAUCAAUGCUCUUUUAGAAAUAAACAUCACAUACACAUAAUACAUGUAAAUACAUACACAUAGGAAUAUAAAAAAACUCAUCCCCUGAGGCAGGAAUAGAACCCUGAACACAGGAUGCCAUUGUGAAAAGCGAAAACAUGGCCACAUGGUUACAGCUUCAAGCUCCCAAGGACAUGCAAGACAAGAAAAAAAUCUCAUCCAAUUUUUCUCAGGAACCUGCAGCAAAGUUUGUAACUGACCAGUUUGCUGGUCUGUCUUGAAAAGCAGUUUACAAGUGUCCUCAGCCAGUGUUCUAUCAUAAGGUACCCCUCUUUAUGACAGAAUAAUACAGAAAAACACACAAAGCACAUCAGAUUUGCUACAGCUUAAGUCUAGCCUCAAAAACCCUUUCUUCCAUUAAUCAAAACUUUAUAGGAGACAGUUACUUUUACCAUUAAUUCAACCAGUUUGCAAGGAGAAAAAGAGAGAGACAGAGAGAAGGAGAGAAAGAAGAAAGCACUGCCUGAGGCAGGGUGGGGAAGGGGAGGCACUCGGAGACACCAGAGAAAGACCCACCCAUUGCAGUGACACUGAACGGUUCAGGUGGCCGCAUGAUGGUUGUGAAGGAUCUUUUCCAGCAGUCCCAUCAGCUCUCAAGUUUUCUGUUUUAGGGAGAAAAUAGUUCCCCAUGUCCCAUGAUCCUGUACAUGCCUAAUCCUGUUACACACAGCUGUCAGCAAGGAGUUGAAGGCAGAUUAAUCCAAAGAGAAUAGCAGUUAACAUCCUGUAGUGCAAAACCUGUUCUUAGCCCGAAAGGACUUUACCAAGACAGACUUUCUAAGAAGGGCCACUAACCCCCUAAAUCUUGGAAAGGGAUUCUAAUCCUCCUAAAUCGGGCCUCUAACCCAAGGUCAUUCAAGUGUCCUUGCCUUUUAUUAAGAGGGGCCUUUAACCCUCUCUGUCUUAGGAGAGACUCUAACUCCCCUAAGUUGAGCCUCUAUCCCAAUCCCAUUCUUUACCUGGGUAGGUACUCCACCACUUACCCAAAGUUGUCCAAUCGGUGCUGCAGUCUAUUUCCUUGGGUUGGGGGGAGGUCUUCUUAGUAUCAUCCCUUCAGGGUUUGCCAGGAAGAUGUUACAGGACCCCAACACUUACCCAAAGUUAUCCUUUCUUUCCAGCGUUUCCUCACUACAGUCCCUUCAUCAUCACCAGAAAGCUGUUACAGGAAAGGCUCCUUAUCCAGACCCCAAGAGAGGAUUCUUGAAUCUCAAGCAAGAAAGAAUUCAGGGGGAGUCCAUAGCAUAAAGUGAAAGCAAGUUUAUUAGGAAAAUAAAGGAAUAAAAGAAUAGCUUCUCUAUAGAUAGAGUAGCCCUGAGGGCUGCUUGUGGCCUAUUUUUAUGGUUAUAUCCUUUUAUAUGCUAAACAAGGGAUGGAUUAUUCAUGCUUCCCCUUUUUAGAACAUACAGGGUAACUUCCUGAUGUCAUGGCGUUUGUGUCAUAGCACUGGUGGGAGUGUAGCAGGGAGGACGACCAGAGGUCACUCUUGGGACUAUUUUGGUUUCGGUGGGUUUUGGCCAGCGUCUUUACUACAGCCUGUUUCAUCAGCAGGGUCUUUACGACCCGUAUCUUGUGCUGACCUCCUAUCUCAUCCUGUGACUUAGAAUGCCUUCACCAUCUGGGAAUGCAGCCCAGUAGGUGUCAACCUUAUUUUACCCAGCUCCUAUUUAAGAUGGAGUUGCUGUGGUUCACAUGUCUCUGAAAAAUCCACCCUUAAAAGUGGCAUCGUCUGAUUCAAACUCCUGCCUUUGUACUUUUGCCUCUUAGGCUACUUCCCGGCACGACUUCUUUCAUCAGCUGCCUUUUUUCAGCUGCUUGGAAAUAGAGCCUUAUAAUAGUUUUCUCUUACUGCUGUAUCCUAUUACUGCAAAUUAGUGGCUUAAAACAACGCAAACUUAUUAUCUUACAGUUCUUUUGGUUGGAAGUCCAGGGUCGGUCUCAUUGGCAGUUUGCUCUUUGGAGGCUCUAGGAGAGAAUGUUUUCUUUUUUCUCUUCUAGCUUCUAGAGGCCUCCCACAUUCCUUGACUUGUGGCCCCUUUCAUUAUCUUCAGCAGCAACAGCAGGUAAAGUUGUCACAUCACUCUCACCAUAGUCCAUACACUUUUAUGUACCUAUGUGUUUAUACUGAGCCCACCUGCAUGAGUCAGGAUAAUCUCCCUGCCUCAAGGUUAGCUAAUUAGCACACUAAACUAUCUACAAACUUAAUUAUCUUUUAUUAUGUAUGGUAACAUAUUUACAGGUUCUGAGGUUUAGGACAUAGACACCUUUCGGAGUCAUUAUCCUACCUACCAGUAGCCCUUAGACAGAAAAGGAAGGCAAGGGUUGUUAAAUUUAAGAAAUAUACUUUGGAGGAAGAAGGAGAGAAGAGGCAAACCCAGGAUCAAAUCAUUGUAGACAUUGCUGAUUUUUUUUUUUUAACAGCCACAUAAUGAACACCUGUUAAAUAUCAGGUGCUGUUUCAGACCCUGAGAAUAGAGGCAUAAACACAGAAGUCAGCAUCCCUGUUCCCAUAUUAAUUGUGUCUGAUCAUUCAUUAAACAUGGAUGUCAUGCAUAGGAGAAGAUUCUGGGGAAGGAAUAAUGGAAAGGCGUGGCAUUUGACCACAUGGAUUUUGUAGGCCCAUGGUAAGAUCACUAUACCAAUAAACAUGAUAAUUUGGUAUUUGCAGAAAGGGAGA